CCUAGAUGGGAACCCUGGACCUCCCAAGCAGGAACAGAGCAGCUUUCACCCAGGGCUCCCUCCCUCCAUCCCUCCCUGCUUCUCUUCCUUCUUUCUAGCUGGUCUGCUACCUCUACCCCCUCCCCUGCACUGUGUGAAACCCACCACAAUUUCCGGUCCCAUUACAGCAAAGUGGGUUGCAACCCUAAAUAAAGAAAGAAGGAAAAGGAAAAAGGAAGUCUGUGGCAGGCAGUAAAUCUCAGUGCUAAGAAGCCUGGACUCCGGGGUCUGAGAGAGCCGCUGUGCCCCCACUACACACCGACAAGCCGCCGGGUGACUCUCUGCUUUCUGAGUUUCGUUUUCCUGCUGUGUAAACUGGAGACCAGGUAGAUGGAUGUCUCUUUGUCUCCUGCUUUAGGGAAUUUCUGUAGGAUGGGAAAAUGGAAACUGUUGGAGCCUCCUUCCUCACAUGAAAAGGCUAAAUUCAAAGUGAUUAUACCCUGUCGUUGUGGAUGAGGAGGCUGUGGAAGGAAACAACACACAGGAGAGAAGGAGGAGGCCUCAGUCUGAGCUUUAAGGACCCUCCGCAUUAAAUGCUUUGGUAUUUGAGAAAAAUGAGCCAACAAAGGCUGAGAAGGAGCAGCUGAAGAAGUGGGAGGGACCCAGGAGGAUGGUUUCAGCAGCAGAAAGGCUCCGGGUGCU